rnacentral:rRNA from 1 species
GACUACCGGGGUAUCUAAGCCCGUUUGCUCCCCUGGCUUUCGUGCCUCAGCGUCAGGAACUGUCCAGAGAUUCGCCUUCGCCACUAGUGUUCCUCACAAUAUCUACGCAUUUCACUGCUCCACUGUGAAUUCCAAUCUCCUCUCCAGUCCUCAAGCACGGCAGUAUCGGAUGCAAUUCCGAAGUUGAGCUCCGGGCUUUCACAUCUGACUUACCGUGCAGCCUACGCACCCUUUACGCCCAGUGAUUCCGAACAACGCUUGAGACCUCUGUAUUACCGCGGCUGCUGGCACAGAGUUAGCCGUCUCUUCCUCUAGUGAUACUCUCAAACCGGCUCGCAGUUAACGCCCGGCUUUACUCUCACUUGACAGGAGUUUACAAUCCGAAGACCUUCAUCCUCCACGCGGCGUCACACCAUCAGGCUUUCGCCCAUUGUGAAUGAUUCUCGACUGCAGCCCCCCGUAGG